GGGUGAUCACAUGAGCUUUGAGAUCUGUCACCUCACUGAUGGCCAGGGUUGAUUUUGCUGAUCUCUCCAGCUAGGCAGGUGUCCCCUCCCUCCCCCCUGAAGCUGCAUGCUGAGACACAGAGGGUGACUUCCUCCAUAGAGACGUUCUGACUGUUCAUGGCUCAAGGGUACCCAGUAGCCAUGCUCCCCUGCUAGAACCUCCAAACAAGCUGAGCUUUCCCUUGUACAAGUGUUCAAGGAGGAGGGAAGGUCUGCACACUGCAAAGGCCAUGCUGAACCAGCACCAGGGCUGUGUCCCUCA
rnacentral:snRNA from 1 species